rnacentral:rRNA from 1 species
AUUGAACGCUGGCGGCAGGCCUAACACAUGCAAGUCGAACGAGUGGCGGACGGGUGAGUAAUGUCUGGGAAACUGCCCGAUGGAGGGGGAUAACUACUGGAAACGGUAGCUAAUACCGCAUCCCAUCAGAUGUGCCCAGCUGGGAUUAGCUAGUAGGGGGGGUAAUGGCUCACCUAGGGGGCGAUCCCUAGCUGGUCUGAGAGGAUGACCAGCAACGCUGGGACUGAGACACGGUCCAGCCGCCUACGGUGGGAAGCGGUGGGGAAUAUUGGAUAAAGGGCGAAAGCCGGAUGCAGCCAUGGCGCGUGGAUGAGGAGGGCCUUCGGGUUGUAAAGUACUUUCAGCGAGGAGACGUUACUCGCAGAAGAAGCACCGGCUAACUCCGUGCCAGCAGCCGCGGUAAUAC